GUGGGGAAUAUUGGACAAUGGGCGAAAGCCUGAUCCAGCAAUGCCGCGUGAGUGAUGAAGGCCUUAGGGUUGUAAAGCUCUUUUACCCGGGAUGAUAAUGACAGUACCGGGAGAAUAAGCUCCGGCUAACUCCGUGCCAGCAGCCGCGGUAAUACGGAGGGAGCUAGCGUUGUUCGGAAUUACUGGGCGUAAAGCGCACGUAGGCGGCUUUGUAAGUUAGAGGUGAAAGCCUGGAGCUUAACUCCAGAACUGCCUUUACGACUGCAUCGCUUGAAUCCAGGAGAGGUGAGUGGAAUUCCGAGUAUAGAGAUGAAAUUCGUAGAUAUUCGGAAGAACACCAGUGGCGAAGGCGGCUCACUGGACUGGUAUUGACGCUGAGGUGCGAAAGCGUGGCGAGCAAACAGGAUUAGAUACCCUAGUAGUCC
rnacentral:rRNA from 1 species